rnacentral:rRNA from 1 species
GAUAAACGCUGGCGGCGUGCCUAACACAUGCAAGUCGAACGCCCUUACGCAAGUAAGGGAGUGGCGGACGGGUGAGGAACACGUGGGUGAUCUGCCUUGAGGUGAGGAAUACCGGCGAGAAAUCGCCGACAAUACCGCAUACGUUCGUAAGAACAAAGUCGCAAGACGCCUUGAGAUGAGCCUGCGUCCGAUUAGCUAGUUGGUGGGGUAAAAGCCUACCAAGGCAGCGANCGGUAGCUGGUCUGAGAGGACGAUCAGCCACACU